rnacentral:tRNA from 1 species
GAUCUCGUGGCGCAGUGGUAGCGCGUGUGAUUCCAGUCCACAAGGUCAUCCGUUCAAUCCGGGUCGAGAUCA